rnacentral:misc_RNA from 1 species
UACGGAGGGGGCGAGCGUUGUUCGGAAUUACUGGGCGUAAAGGGCGCGUAGGCGGCCAUGUCAGUUGGGAGUGAAAGCCCCGGGCUCAACCUGGGAACUGCUCUCAAUACUGCGUGGCUUGAGAACGGGAGAGGGUAGUGGAAUUCCCAGUGUAGAGGUGAGAUUCGUAGAUAUUGGGAAGAACACCAGUGGCGAAGGCGGCUACCUGGCCCGUUUCUGACGCUGAGGCGCGAAAGCGUGGGGAGCAAACAGG